UACGUAGGUGGCAAGCGUUAUCCGGAAUUAUUGGGCGUAAAGCGCGCGCAGGCGGUCUCUUAAGUCUGAUGUGAAAGCCCACGGCUCAACCGUGGAGGGUCAUUGGAAACUGGGAGACUUGAGUGCAGGAGAGAAAAGUGGAAUUCCACGUGUAGCGGUGAAAUGCGUAGAGAUGUGGAGGAACACCAGUGGCGAAGGCGGCUUUUUGGCCUGUAACUGACGCUGAGGCGCGAAAGCGUGGGGAGCAAACAGGAUUAGAUACCCUGGUAGUCCACGCCGUAAACGAUGAGUGCUAGGUGUUGGGGGGUUCCACCCUCAGUGCUGAAGUUAACACAUUAAGCACUCCGCCUGGGGAGUACGACCGCAAGGUUGAA
rnacentral:rRNA from 1 species